rnacentral:rRNA from 1 species
GACGAACGCUGGCGGCGUGCUUAACACAUGCAAGUCGAACGUGAUUUUUGUGGAAAUUCUUUCGGGAAUGGAAAUGAAAUGGAAGUGGCGAACGGGUGAGUAACACGUGAGCAACCUACCUUACACAGGGGGAUAGCCGUUGGAAACGACGAUUAAUACCGCAUGAGACCACAGAAUCGCAUGAUAUAGGGGUCAAAGAUUUAUCGGUGUAAGAAGGGCUCGCGUCUGAUUAGCUAGUUGGAAGGGUAAAGGCCUACCAAGGCGACGAUCAGUAGCCGGUCUGAGAGGAUGAACGGCCACAUUGGAACUGAGACACGGUCCAAACUCCUACGGGAGGCAGCAGUGGGGAAUAUUGCACAAUGGGGGGAACCCUGAUGCAGCGACGCCGCGUGAGCGAAGAAGGUUUUCGAAUCGUAAAGCUCUGUCCUAUGAGAAGAUAAUGACGGUAUCAUAGGAGGAAGCCCCGGCUAAAUACGUGCCAGCAGCCGCGGUAAUACGUAUGGGGCGAGCGUUGUCCGGAAUUAUUGGGCGUAAAGGGUACGUAGGCGGUUUUUUAAGUCAGGUGUGAAAGCGUGAGGCUUAACCUCAUUAAGCACUUGAAACUGGAAGACUUGAGUGAAGGAGAGGAAAGUGGAAUUCCUAGUGUAGCGGUGAAAUGCGUAGAUAUUAGGAGGAAUACCGGUGGCGAAGGCGACUUUCUGGACUUUUACUGACGCUCAGGUACGAAAGCGUGGGGAGCAAACAGG